UACGUAGGGUGCGAGCGUUGUCCGGAAUUAUUGGGCGUAAAGAGCUUGUAGGUGGCUCGUUGCGUCGGGAGUGAAAACCUGCGGCUUAACCGCAGGCCUGCUUCCGAUACGGGCGAGCUAGAGUUCGGCAGGGGAGACUGGAAUUCCUGGUGUAGCGGUGGAAUGCGCAGAUAUCAGGAGGAACACCGAUGGCGAAGGCAGCUCGCUGGGACGGUACUGACGCUGAGACGCGAAAGCGUGGGGAGCAAACAGG
rnacentral:rRNA from 1 species